UCUGGUUGAUCCUGCCAGUAGUCAUAUGCUUGUCUCAAAGAUUAAGCCAUGCAUGUCUAAGUAUAAACACCUUUAUACUGUGAAACUGCAGAUGGCUCAUUAAAUCAGAAAUAAUUUAUUUGAUGGUGACCUACUACAUGGAUAACCGUAGUAAUUCUAGAGCUAAUACAUGCGUAUAAGUGCAGCCUCCGGGCUGUCACUGUAUUUAUUAGAUAAAAAACCAAACCCUUCGGGGCUUUGUGCUGAAUCAUAAUAACUGUUCGAAUCGCACGCUUACGCUGGCGAUAGUUCAUUCAAAUUUCUGCCCUAUCAGCUAUUGACGGUAGUGUAGUGGACUACCGUGGCAUUAACGGGUAACGGAGAAUUAGGGUUCGAUUCCGGAGAGGGAGCCUGAGAAACGGCUACCACAUCCAAGGAAGGCAGCAGGCGCGCAAAUUACCCAAUCCCGACACGGGGAGGUAGUGACAAGAAAUAGCGAUUCCGGGUCUUUAUAGGUCUGGUUAUUGCAAUGGACGUAUUGUAAAUGCCUACGUGGGUAUCCAUUGGAGGGCAAGUCUGGU
rnacentral:rRNA from 1 species